rnacentral:rRNA from 1 species
AUUGAACGCUGGCGGCAGGCCUAACACAUGCAAGUCGAACGAGUGGCGGACGGGUGAGUAAUGUCUGGGAAACUGCCUGAUGGAGGGGGAUAACUACUGGAAACGGUAGCUAAUACCGCAUACCAUCGGAUGUGCCCAGAUGGGAUUAGCUAGUAGGUGGGGUAAAGGCUCACCUAGGCGACGAUCCCUAGCUGGUCUGAGAGGAUGACCGGCCAAACGGGAACUUAGACACGGUGCAGACUCCGAUGGGAGGCAGCAGUGGGGAAUAUUGAACCAUGGGCGGAAGCCUGAUGCAGCCAUGCCGCGUGUAUGAAGAAGGCCUUCGGGUUGUAAAGUACUUUCAGCGGGGAGGCGUUACCCGCAGAAGAAGCACCGGCUAACUCCGUGCCAGCAGCCGCGGUAAUUC